CCUGAAAAUAAGGAUAAAUGGGAUCUUCUUGGCGAAGGGGAGAAAGUGGCGCGUUUCCCAUUCUCGUGUGUGGCUGGACUUCAACGGGUCUUUCGUCGGCGAGCAGGAAAUCAGAAAAACAUGUUGGAGAAUGAAACAAAAAAAUCAUAACAAAUGAACUUCAUAAUCCAGCACCUGUUUCAAAAUCCAUUCUUGUCUUCAUAAAACAGGUUCAACACCUUCCAAUAAGAAAGCAUUGAACAAGGGCUAAUGGUGAAUUUGAAGUAGAAUCCAACAGUAAGAUGCUUAUUCAUCAGAAUGUUCUCCUCCUUGAUCUCCCAGCAGAUUCCUAGGUGCCUUCAAAACCCACAGUAAAGAGAUCCUCAAAAGAUCUUUUGAGGUUGCAUAUAUCUGUACACCA